rnacentral:rRNA from 1 species
GAAUCUUGCGCAAUGGGCGAAAGCCUGACGCAGCAACGCCGCGUGCGGGAUGAAGGCCUUCGGGUUGUAAACCGCUUUCAGUGGGGACGAAUCCAGACGGUACCCACAGAAGAAGCCCCGGCCAACUACGUGCCAGCAGCCGCGGUAACACGUAGGGGGCGAGCGUUGUCCGGAUUCAUUGGGCGUAAAGAGCUCGUAGGCGGCUCAGCAAGUCGGGUGUGAAAACUCCAGGCUCAACCUGGAGACGCCACCCGAUACUGCUGUGGCUAGAGUCCAGUAGGGGAGCGUGGAAUUCCCGGUGUAGCGGUGAAAUGCGCAGAUAUCGGGAGGAACACCAGCGGCGAAGGCGGCGCUCUGGGCUGGAACUGACGCUGAGGAGCGAAAGCGUGGGGAGCAAACAG